GGUUAAGCGACUAAGCGUACACGGUGGAUGCCCUGGCAGUCAGAGGCGAUGAAGGACGUGCUAAUCUGCGAAAAGCGUCGGUAAGGUGAUAUGAACCGUUACAGCCGGCGAUGUCCGAAUGGGGAAACCCAGUGCAAUUCGUUGCACUAUCGUUAACUGAAUACAUAGGUUAACGAGGCGAACCGGGGAACUGAAACAUCUAAGUACCCCGAGGAAAAGAAAUCAACCGAGAUUCCCCCAGUAGCGGCGAGCGAACGGGGAGCAGCCCAGAGUCUGAAUCAGCUUGUGUGUUAGUGGAACGGUCUGGAAAGUCCGACGGUACAGGGUGAUAGUCCCGUACACCAAAAUGCACAGGCUGUGAACUCGAAGAGUAGGGCGGGACACGUGGUAUCCUGUCUGAAUAUGGGGGGACCAUCCUCCAAGGCUAAAUACUCCUGACUGACCGAUAGUGAACCAGUACCGUGAGGGAAAGGCGAAAAGAACCCCGGCGAGGGGAGUGAAAAAGAACCUGAAACCGUGUACGUACAAGCAGUGGGAGCACCUUCGGGUGUGACUGCGUACCUUUUGUAUAAUGGGUCAGCGACUUAUAUUCUGUAGCAAGGUUAACCGUAUAGGGGAGCCGCAGGGAAACCGAGUCUUAACUGGGCGUUAAGUUGCAGGGUAUAGACCCGAAACCCGGUGAUCUAGCCAUGGGCAGGUUGAAGGUUGGGUAACACUAACUGGAGGACCGAACCGACUAAUGUUGAAAAAUUAGCGGAUGACUUGUGGCUGGGGGUGAAAGGCCAAUCAAACCGGGAGAUAGCUGGUUCUCCCCGAAAGCUAUUUAGGUAGCGCCUCGUGAAUUCAUCUUCGGGGGUAGAGCACUGUUUCGGCUAGGGGGUCAUCCCGACUUACCAACCCGAUGCAAACUACGAAUACCGAAGAAUGUUAUCACGGGAGACACACGGCGGGUGCUAACGUCCGUCGUGAAGAGGGAAACAACCCAGACCGCCAGCUAAGGUCCCAAAGUCAUGGUUAAGUGGGAAACGAUGUGGGAAGGCACAGACAGCCAGGAUGUUGGCUUAGAAGCAGCCAUCAUUUAAAGAAAGCGUAAUAGCUCACUGGUCGAGUCGGCCUGCGCGGAAGAUGUAACGGGGCUAAACCAUGCACCGAAGCUGCGGCAGCGACACUAUGUGUUGUUGGGUAGGGGAGCGUUCUGUAAGCCUGCGAAGGUGACCUGUGAGGGUUGCUGGAGGUAUCAGAAGUGCGAAUGCUGACAUAAGUAACGAUAAAGCGGGUGAAAAGCCCGCUCGCCGGAAGACCAAGGGUUCCUGUCCAACGUUAAUCGGGGCAGGGUGAGUCGACCCCUAAGGCGAGGCCGAAAGGCGUAGUCGAUGGGAAACAGGUUAAUAUUCCUGUACUUGGUGUUACUGCGAAGGGGGACGGAGAAGGCUAUGUUAGCCGGGCGACGGUUGUCCCGGUUUAAGCAUGUAGGCUGGUUAUCCAGGCAAAUCCGGAUAAUCAAGGCUGAGGUGUGAUGACGAGGCACUACGGUGCUGAAGUAACAAAUGCCCUGCUUCCAGGAAAAGCCUCUAAGCAUCAGGUAACAUCAAAUCGUACCCCAAACCGACACAGGUGGUCAGGUAGAGAAUACCAAGGCGCUUGAGAGAACUCGGGUGAAGGAACUAGGCAAAAUGGUGCCGUAACUUCGGGAGAAGGCACGCUGGUGUGUAGGUGAAGUCCCUGCGGAUGGAGCUGAGACCAGUCGAAGAUACCAGCUGGCUGCAACUGUUUAUUAAAAACACAGCACUGUGCAAACACGAAAGUGGACGUAUACGGUGUGACGCCUGCCCGGUGCCGGAAGGUUAAUUGAUGGGGUUAUCCGUAAGGAGAAGCUCUUGAUCGAAGCCCCGGUAAACGGCGGCCGUAACUAUAACGGUCCUAAGGUAGCGAAAUUCCUUGUCGGGUAAGUUCCGACCUGCACGAAUGGCGUAAUGAUGGCCAGGCUGUCUCCACCCGAGACUCAGUGAAAUUGAACUCGCUGUGAAGAUGCAGUGUACCCGCGGCAAGACGGAAAGACCCCGUGAACCUUUACUAUAGCUUGACACUGAACAUUGAGCCUUGAUGUGUAGGAUAGGUGGGAGGCUUUGAAGCGUGGACGCCAGUCUGCGUGGAGCCAACCUUGAAAUACCACCCUUUAAUGUUUGAUGUUCUAACGUUGGCCCCUUACCGGGGUUGCGGACAGUGUCUGGUGGGUAGUUUGACUGGGGCGGUCUCCUCCCAAAGCGUAACGGAGGAGCACGAAGGUUAGCUAAUCCUGGUCGGACAUCAGGAGGUUAGUGCAAUGGCAUAAGCUAGCUUGACUGCGAGCGUGACGGCGCGAGCAGGUGCGAAAGCAGGUCAUAGUGAUCCGGUGGUUCUGAAUGGAAGGGCCAUCGCUCAACGGAUAAAAGGUACUCCGGGGAUAACAGGCUGAUACCGCCCAAGAGUUCAUAUCGACGGCGGUGUUUGGCACCUCGAUGUCGGCUCAUCACAUCCUGGGGCUGAAGUAGGUCCCAAGGGUAUGGCUGUUCGCCAUUUAAAGUGGUACGCGAGCUGGGUUUAGAACGUCGUGAGACAGUUCGGUCCCUAUCUGCCGUGGGCGCUGGAGAAUUGAGGGGGGCUGCUCCUAGUACGAGAGGACCGGAGUGGACGCAUCACUGGUGUUCGGGUUGUCAUGCCAAUGGCACUGCCCGGUAGCUAAAUGCGGAAGAGAUAAGUGCUGAAAGCAUCUAAGCACGAAACUUGCCCCGAGAUGAGUUCUCCCUGAGACUUUAAGUCUCCUGAAGGAACGUUAAAGACGAUGACGUUGAUAGGCCGGGUGUGUAAGCGCAGCGAUGCGUUGAGCUAACCGGUACUAAUGAACCGUGAGGCUUAACCUU
rnacentral:rRNA from 1 species